rnacentral:misc_RNA from 1 species
UGGCGAUGCGAAUCUGACUAAAGAUCGCUUCCUGCGGCGCUAUGUGGACCAGGAUCCUUCUAGAUGUUCCCCUGGAGAUCUUUCUCACGUUCAACAAAAUGAAGCCCCUCGCCGAGGAUGUAAAGCAGAUAGCCAAGGCAUUAAACAACUCCCAGCUGCUGGAGUUGGAUGAGAGCGCCCUGAAGGUACGCCGCAAGACCAAGAUGCCCGACCAGCGCGACGUCAAUGACAAGACGCUGUAUGUGGAGGCCCUGCCGGCUGAAGGCUGAAGGAAGUCUUCAGUCGCUAUGGCCCUGUGGCCUAUGUAUCGCUGCCUCACUACCCAGGCACCAAGAAGAUUAAGGAGUUUGCCUUCAUCGAGUUCGAACGCAGCAGUGCCCUGGAGAAGGCGGUAAAAGCCUUUGCCCAGGUCCAGGGUGUCCUAUCCCUUGACACAGACCCAGCCGUUUUGGCUAGCGUUCGCUCAUUUCAGCAGCAACAACAGCAGGCCAAAAAUGUUGAUGCAUCGCAGGAGGAUGCCAACAAGCGGGGUCGCAAGAGAGACCUUGCCUCGUGCAGGGCCAAGGAGGAAGAUCAGCAUGACAUUAAGCGUCUCAAGCUGGAACACCAGCCUAGCGAGACAUCCACUGCCGAAGAGACCGCAAGUGAAUCGGACGGUUGCAACAGCUCAAGCUAUCCGAGCGCGUCUUCGUGCUGAUGAACAUGGAUCGCAACUCGAACACCAGCAAGCCAGCAGCAGCAGCAACAGCGGGGGCGACCACCAGCACACCCAGCCACGCGCAUCGCAAAAGGAGACGCAUGUAACUAGACACGGCUGAUUGUGCUGCACAGGCCACAGCUCCACAGACGCGCACUUUUCAAACGGAUGCGUUUAUAUUUCAGUCGCACCCAAUCGCCUGUAGGAGCGUCCGCGUCUCCUGCCACCUUACAUUUGCUGCAGCCAGAACCGCGAUAAGUCGCACAUAAGCGGCUUUCUGGCCAGCCAUGUGGACGACGAUGACGAAGUCGAAGCCGACGAUCAGGAUGAGGAUGAGGAGGAGUCAGAUGCGGAGAGCACCUUGGCUAGCGAGGAUUUAGGAGAAGAGGAGAUGCC